rnacentral:rRNA from 1 species
AUGAACGCUGGCGGCGUGCCUAAUACAUGCAAGUCGAGCGAACGGACGAGAAGCUUGCUUCUCUGAUGUUAGCGGCGGACGGGUGAGUAACACGUGGAUAACCUACCUAUAAGACUGGGAUAACUUCGGGAAACCGGAGCUAAUACCGGAUGAUAUUUUGAACCGCAUGGUUCAAAAGUGAAAGACGGUCUUGCUGUCACUUAUAGAUGGAUCCGCGCUGCAUUAGCUAGUUGGUAAGGUAACGGCUUACCAAGGCAACGAUGCAUAGCCGACCUGAGAGGGUGAUCGGCCACACUGGAACUGAGACACGGUCCAGACUCCUACGGGAGGCAGCAGUAUGGAAUCUUCCGCAAUGGGCGAAAGCCUGACGGAGCAACGCCGCGUGAGUGAUGAAGGUCUUCGGAUCGUAAAACUCUGUUAUUAGGGAAGAACAUAUGUGUAAGUAACUGUGCACAUCUUGACGGUACCUAAUCAGAAAGCCACGGCUAACUACGUG